UCUUGUAAUGAUCGCAACGCUCUUACGCAGAUUCGAAAUAAGAUUUAUUGUUUUCUCUAAACUCGUUUGUUAUCUUUUCACGAUUUCUACAUAUAUUUGGUCACUUGUCGUUGGCUCUCGCAGAGAUCCGGGACCUCUGGGAAAUUAGGGUUUUCUUAGUUUCCUAAUUUAAACGUAAAUCGACAGUGCGAAUUUCGGUUCCCACAAUCUCAAUGUCUUUAUCAGUCUCUCUGCUCUCUCUGAAGAAAUUACCAAGUCUAUACUUAUGAUAAGCAUCCUCAAAAGACAUAUCCUUAGGAACCCUUUUCACGCUCUUGUGAAAUCCUUCAAGUUCCUCUUUGUUAACUUCUCUCCUAAGGUGUUUGGGAAUAUAGGGUUUCCUAGAUUUCACUCUCUUCUCAACUGGAAUGUCUUAUUUCGUUGCCUGCCUUUCCAUGGCAGGUUCAUAUCCGUCUGUUUGGUGUCGAUCGAUACCUGGUAGAUGCUGUGGAUCGAUACCUGGUAGAUGUCAUCGAUCGAAACUCUCAACGAAAGAGGUUUCAGCUAGGGUUGAUUGCUCUUGCUCUUGUGCUUCUGCAGAUUGUUGACUUGUCUUCUCUGUUGUCUUCAAGCAAAUUGAUGUGUGAGAUGGAUUUCGGGUUGCCUUCAAGCGGUGUGCAUCAACAUCUGGUAAAUGUACUCGGUAUGGCAUUGACGAUUGUCGAUCGCUGCUCUUUUGUUGUUGUCGAUCGACGUUGCCAUGUUGAUACCGGUUGAUUUUUUACCGAUUAACGUUAUCUAAUAUAAAUCGAGCUAGGGUGGGAGGAUGCGGGUGUCGAGUGGAAAAAUCUUAGUGGCUCUGAAUUCGAACAGUUUUGUCUGAUCCCAAAAGUGGUGUCGGCUGAUACUCGACUGACGAUGUCGAUCGGUGCUCAGCUGUUGAUGUCGGUCGACAACAGUACGAGCUGCCUACGGACAUGCAGCUUUCGACUAGUAUAUCAUCUUCUUUCGGCUUCUCCUUCCUGAGCACUUCCCCAAGGUCAUUAUCUGCGAUGGCAUUAACAUGGUGCCUCCCACUUUCCACAACUUUCCCUUUGACCAGAGCUUCUUGCUUCUUCACAGCAUCUGCAGUCUGAGAAACCUAGGCAUUUAGCAUCAUGACAUGGGCAUCUAAGGUUUCAAAUUUUUCAUUCAGAUCUUUGUAGAGAACAUCCAACCUCAGAUUCAAGUAUGCACUUGUCUUCUGCUGAAUUUUCAGGAUCUUCUCUAUCAUAGAUUAUAUCUUUUCUAUAUAGCCUUGAUCCUCAUCCUUCUCUACAGCAUGUUCUACCAACGAGACUUCAUGUACAGAACCAAUCUAAGGCUCAACGAUCAUGUCACUAUCCAUUGCAGCUGAUUUUAUCCUGUGCAUAUCAAGAUUUUUGGAACUCUUGCUAGACAUCAAGUUCUCAAUCAGCCUCUUAGCUUCUUCUGGGGUUCUUGUCUCAAAGUUUCCUUCGCUUGUAGUAUCCAACAUCAUAUGAUAUCGCACAUCAAUACUCUUGCAGAAAUUCUUCCACAGCUGAAUCUCUGUAAAACCAUGAUGUGGAAAGUCCCUUUGGUAUCUCCUAAACCUCUCCCAAGAGCUUUUGAAAGCUUUUGUAGGUCCCUGAGAGAAUGUCCAAAUUUUAUCUCUCAUAUCUUCAGCCCUUGCAUCAUCUAAACGUUCAGUCAUAAACGCAGUCCUGACAUCAUUCCAUGUAGUGAGAGAUCCUGGUGGUAGGCAUCUCAGCCACUUUUAGCAUUCCCAGAGAGAGAAUAUUUGAACAGCUUGCAGAUGAUGUAGUCUUUGGUUGCUUCAUCCUUCUGGAUGCGAGACACAAAGUCUUCGAGUGUCUCAAUAUGAUCUGAGGGAUUUUCAUCAGGAAAACCACGAUAAGGGUGCUGACCCACAUGAGAGAAGUGUGUGGGUUGUAUUUGAAAUCCCUGGAUUUUUAGAGGUUGAAUCGCAGACCUGUUGCUGUACAACUGACUAGGCCUGGUCAAAUCUGCUAACGAUAUCUGAAGAGGAACUUUAGCAUCCUCGGUGGCAGCAGAUGGCUCAAGGAUUGCAGUUCCUUGUCCAUCUAUCUUCUGACCUUCUGCAUUACACAGAUGACCUCCAGGGUCAUGCAGGUCUCCAUUCUCAUCCCUAUGUAGCACAAGUGUCGCCACCAUGUCUGCUCGUGGAUCGGUAUCGAUCGAUGUUCGAGUUGAACUGUCGAUCUUUGCUCUGUCACAAGUGUCGAUCGACAUAGUAGAGGUAGUGUCGAUCGAUGAUGUGCGUUUCUCUUUGCGGAUCGAGCGUUCCAAACGUGCUGGGUCUGAGAAGAAAAGUAACUCCUUCUUGCUGCUUCUGGUACUGAUAGGCAUGUACCUGAAAGACAAGAAAAGUUUUUAUGUAAGUAACUAUGACAGUAAAUAAAACCUAGACUAAACCUAUUAAUCAAGUCUAAUGGCGAUCAAAGCUCCCCGGCAACGACGCCAAAUUUGAUAUCACUCAAAUUACCUUAAAGAGUGAUUUUACUCUCUCAAAUAAGAGGUUCAACUAUAGUACUUAGGGAUAAAAUUCUCAGAGAGCUAGGGCACACAACAGACUAUAGAAAUCAAGAUUAAGCUAGGCAAACAGUUUAUAAAGAAGUAAAUCAAUGAAAGCAAGGUGAACAAAGUAGUUGUUCGAUUCGUUGAUUGAGGUUGUAAAUAAUUAGGAGAAAUAGUUAGACGUGGGAUUAAUAAAUCAAGAGAUUCAAAACUUCAAUUCAAGGAUGCUAAUGCUUUAUAGAUUAAUUCUUUAACUCGAUUUUAAUAAGUAAGCAAUCCAGCUUUGGCAUGCAAUUGCUAAUCGAAUGUCUAAGUCCAGUCUCAGCUGUUGCUUGUUGACGUGGAGCGAGUGUCGAUCGAUGCUAUGGCCUGAGCGUCGAUCGAUACUUCCUCAAAGAUGCAUUAACGACCUAAUCGAUUAAGUUCAACUAAAUUCCUAAACCAACUCUCGUAUGAGCCUAGGUAUCUAAUCCAACAGAGUUUUGGGUUCCGUUAAUUGAUUGCACUUUCGUGCCUCUCAACUAUCCUAUGAUUCUAGGUUCAAACAAUUAGUCACACUAUCGUGCUAUUCUAACUAUUCCAGAUCCUAGUAUUGCAAAUCAUCCUGGUGUAGAGAUCUAUAGAUAACCUAGCAAUCCUAAUUGAUUAUCAGUUUGACAUUAAGCUCAUGAAAUCCCUAAACCUAACAAGAUGAAUUACUCAGACAUGCAAGCAAUAACACAAAUCAUAGUCUGAAUAAUAUAAUAGAUAUGUAAUCAAUGAUAAAACCAAUGGAGUUCUAAUCAAUUUCCGAAGGAGAACUGAUCUUCUCUUCAACCCUAAAACAAGAAUAAUGAAUAAUAGAAAGCGUGUUGAAUGCGUAGCCAUCAUCAAUGGCUUAUAAAUAACAUAAAUAGGGUUUUUGGCCGUCCAUGGAUAUUUUCAUAACUUGGUUUGGCUUCUUGAUAGAUUAUGGAUUUGACCCAUUUUCAUCCAUAGUUUAUAGGUGUUUUACUAAUAAUUAUUAUAUUAUAGAGUCUAUUUAUUAUAUUUAUAAGAUCCGGAGUGUUUUGGAGAUAAGUGAUGAUUUUGGAGGAUUUUGGAGAAUUUUGGAGCAAGCACUCGAGAUGAUCAUCGAAAAUCGACAAUCGGUUGAUAUUGGAGAGGAAUAAUCGAUCAAUACGCAUGACUUGGUAUCGAUCGACAGCAAAGCGCGCAGAAAGCCUGUUUGGUCACAUCCGACUUGAAGCCUAAGACUUUACCAUUUGAUAAGAUUACCCCUGACGAGUUUUACCCUAAUUAUACAAGCUUUGCAGCCAUGUUCGAGGCAAAGUAUGCUUUCAUUGUUUUACUAUUUUCACAGUGAUAGACCAUGGAUUUUACCCACUUUUAGCCAUGGUCUAUAAGUGUUUACAUAUAUAUAUUUACUACUAUAUAGAGUCUAUUUAGAGUAUUUACAAGUUCAGAGACGAUUUGGAGGAAUGUGGUGAUUUUGGUGUCUUUUGAAGCCUUUUGAAUGCAGAACUGCACAGACGUGUCAGAUAUCUAGCUAUGGAUUGAGACCUUCCCACCGUUAGACGUGUCCAGGACCUACAGCUGAUUAAAAUCUCGAGGCUGCAAUACCAGAGUCAGCGUCAGUAGACAUUAGAACUUCAGCAUCGGUCGACUUCCAAUCCUCAAAAUCGAUCGACAAUAAGCCUUCAUUAUCGGAUGACUCACAAUCUUCAGAAUUGAUCGACACGAAGCCUUCCACAUCGGUCGAUACCAUACGACUUUCAGAACAGCCCGAGACUGAAAAGUCUAAGUCUGGGGGAAGGAACAAGAAUAGAAAGAAGAAAAAGAAAAGGAAGCAGAUGCAGAUCCCCUAUCAAUAGUUCCUUUGCAAUGUCAAGAGGGUAGUCUUGAGUAUAGAGUGCGCUGCAGAGGAGGUUCUGAAUCCUUUCCCAAGGUCAGAGUGCUAUGUUAUCCAGAACUGAGGGACAAAGGGGAAGCUUCUGCAAGAGCUUUUAUCAACUGCAUCAAAAAGAUGAGAAAGAGAGACACUGUGACUUGUUCUGGAGCAAGUUCACAUGCUCAUCCAAACUAAAUCAGAUCUCCUAAAGUCAAGCUAAUGACUGAAAAUAAGCGCUGAGUGGGAGGCAACCCACUAUUAGGUAAUUUCUUUCAUUUUAGUUUAGAUUGUUAUUGAUUAAAGUUUUUCAUUAUUGCAGGUCAAAAAAAAAAAGGAGAGAAGAUCCAUGGUCCAUGAGUUCUGCACCAGCAUCGAGCGCAGCUGGCCAGCGUAUCAAUCGACAGAACAUCAUAAGUAUCGAUCGCCACUUAACUAUGUUGAUCGAUAAUAACAUCAAUGACAGGUAUACUCGCGAAAUCUUGUUAAAUUUAGUACUUAUGGUUUAUUUUCCCACCAAUCUUAGACUGUAUGACACUCGGAAGUGUUGUUUAAGUCUAGGAGAGGUUCUACUGAUAUUGUGUUUUAGCUAGCUAUUAUAAAAAAAAAGGGAUCCGAGUAGACGAUUUCCCAGCAUAUCGAUCGAUGAGGGCAUGUCAAUAUCGAUCGACAAUACAUUACCUGCAGCGACUGAUGGCAACUCCUUUCCAUCGAUUGACACUUAAUCCGGUCAGGUAUAUCGUUCUCACUUGUUAAAUUGAGUACUUAUGAUUUAUUUAUCACCAUAACUCCGACUAGAUAUACACUCGGGACAGUGUAAUUUAAGUCUGGGAGAUGUUUACUGAUAUUAGUGUGUUUAUGAGUCUUAUCAAAGUGUUUUCAAAAGAGUUUUAUUGAGUCAAGAAGGGGAUAAUAAACCUAUUAGGUUUUUGCUUGUUAUCUAACCAUUCUUUAGCACCAAUCUAGACUUACUGAUUGCAAAUAGUACUAAAGAUACUAAAGUGGAUCAAUCUGUCAACUAUUCACACUUGCUGAGAUUGUUUGAAGGAACCAAAGCUGACCUCCAACACUGAACCUGACACAACUGCUUGUCUUGGGGCUUGGUAUACAUGGGAUUAGAUUCUUCAAACAAGUUUGGAAGGUAAAGCCUUGAGUAGAUUUAUCACUUUUUCUCUCUCUAUUUCGAGCCUAGAUUUAUAGGUAGAGAUAUUUAUUUCCAAAAAAAAAACAAAAAAGAAAGAAAAGAA